ACAAGCAGCGGAGCGUGUGGUUUAAUUCGAUGCUACACGAAGAGCCUUACCAGGGUUUGACAUACAAGUAGUAGGGAAAGGAAACUGGACCGACCCUUCGGGGAGCUUGUACAGGUGCUGCAUGGCUGUCGUCAGCUCGUGUCGUGAGAUGUUGGGUUAAGUCCCGCAACGAGCGCAACCCUUGUCAUUAGUUGCUACAUUCAGUUGGGCACUCUAAUGAGACUGCCGGUGACAAGCCGGAGGAAGGUGGGGAUGACGUCAAGUCCUCAUGGCCCUUAUAGGUGGGGCUACACACGUCAUACAAUGGCUGGUACAAAGGGUUGCCAACCCGCGAGGGGGAGCCAAUCCCAUAAAGCCAGUCGUAGUCCGGAUCGUAGUCUGCAACUCGACUACGUGAAGUCGGAAUCGCUAGUAAUCGUGGAUCAGAAUGUCACGGUGAAUACGUUCCCGGGUCUU
rnacentral:rRNA from 1 species